rnacentral:rRNA from 1 species
CAGUCGCCACGGGAAUACGUAGGUGGCAAGCGUUGUCCGGAAUUAUUGGGCGUAAAGGGCUCGCAGGCGGUUUCUUAAGUCUGAUGUGAAAGCCCCCGGCUCAACCGGGGAGGGUCAUUGGAAACUGGGAAACUUGAGUGCAGAAGAGGAGAGUGGAAUUCCACGUGUAGCGGUGAAAUGCGUAGAGAUGUGGAGGAACACCAGUGGCGAGGCGACUCUCUGGUCUGUAACUGACGCUGAGGAGCGAAAGCGUGGGGAGCGAACAGGAUUAGAUACCCCCGUAGUCCCUGUCUCUUAUACA